AUUUAAAAUCUCCGUUGCUUGCAACGGCGAAUUGUAGUUUCGAGAAGCACUUUCUCGGCGGAUCCGAGGUCGUCCAAGUUGCUUGGAACAGCACGUCGUAGAGGGUGAAAACCCCGUCUGCGGCGACCUCGGUCGUUCACGAUGUGCUUUCGACGAGUCGGGUUGUUUGGGAAUGCAGCCCAAAAUGGGUGGUAAACUCCAUCUAAAGCUAAAUAUUGGCACGAGACCGAUAGCGAACAAGUACCGUGAGGGAAAGAUGAAAAGCACUUUGAAAAGAGAGUUAAAAAGUACGUGAAACCGUUAAAAGGGAAACGAAUGGGGUUAGCAAUGCGUCGUGCGAGAUUCAGCCGGUGGGUGGGCCAGGCGGGCGGUUGGCGGAUCUGAAUGGACCGCUGCCGUUCGGGUUGGUUUCCCGACCGUCGCACUUCUCGCAGGCGCGCGCCAACGUCGGUUAGGGCUGGGUCUCAAAGGCGGUGGGAAGGUAGGUUUGGACUCUCGGGCCCGAACUGUUACAGUCCUCCGUUUGUCAUGGCCCGGACCUGACCGAGGAGCUUGCGGUGCAUGCCGUUCGGCUAGGGUCCCGUCUUCCCGGUCGGUCGUCGAAUGCGGUGGACUGCGUGCAGUGCGCCGCGACUGCUGCCGGUCGCGAGGGCGGUGAUUUCGUACUAUGCACCCACGACGUUGGCGGUCAUAUGGCCUCAUCCGACCCGUCUUGAAACACGGACCAAGGAGUCUAACAUGUGUGCGAGUCUUUGAGUGAUCGAAACUCCGAGGCGUAAUGAAAGUGAAGGCGACUUCGGUCGCUGAGGUGAGAGCCUUUUUCCACAAAAAAAGGCGCAUCAUUGACCGACCUAUUCUACUCUUAGAAAGGUUUGAGUAAGA
rnacentral:rRNA from 1 species